rnacentral:antisense_RNA from 1 species
CUUCAGCGAGCCCAGCCACAGCGGCUUGUCCUGCGGCCGCUCCUUGCCGUAGGUGGCCAGCAGGGCCUGCGCCUC